GCACAAGCGGUGGAGCAUGUGGUUAAUUCGAAGCAACGCGAAGAACCUUACCAGGUCUUGACAUCCCCUGACAACCCAAGAGAUUGGGCGUUCCCCUUCGGGGGACAGGGUGACAGGUGGUGCAUGGUUGUCGUCAGCUCGUGUCGUGAGAUGUUGGGUUAAGUCCCGCAACGAGCGCAACCCUCGCCUCUAGUUGCCAGCAUUCGGUUGGGCACUCUAGAGGGACUGCCGGCGACAAGUCGGAGGAAGGUGGGGAUGACGUCAAAUCAUCAUGCCCCUUAUGACCUGGGCUACACACGUGCUACAAUGGGCGGUACAAAGGGCUGCGAACCCGCGAGGGGGAGCGAAUCCCAAAAAGCCGCUCUCAGUUCGGAUUGCAGGCUGCAACUCGCCUGCAUGAAGCCGGAAUCGCUAGUAAUCGCGGAUCAGCAUGCCGCGGUCGAAUACGUUCCCGGGCCUU
rnacentral:rRNA from 1 species